rnacentral:rRNA from 1 species
CUACAGGCUUAACACAUGCAAGUCGAGGGGAAACGACAUCGAAAGCUUGCUUUUGAUGGGCGUCGACCGGCGCACGGGUGAGUAACGCGUAUCCAACCUGCCCAUCACUUGGGGAUAACCUUGCGAAAGUAAGACUAAUACCCAAUGACGUCUCUAGAAGACAUCUGAAAGAGAUUAAAGAUUUAUCGGUGAUGGAUGGGGAUGCGUCUGAUUAGCUUGUUGGCGGGGUAACGGCCCACCAAGGCAACGAUCAGUAGGGGUUCUGAGAGGAAGGUCCCCCACAUUGGAACUGAGACACGGUCCAAACUCCUACGGGAGGCAGCAGUGAGGAAUAUUGGUCAAUGGGCGAGAGCCUGAACCAGCCAAGUAGCGUGCAGGAUGACGGCCCUAUGGGUUGUAAACUGCUUUUAUAAGGGAAUAAAGUGAGUCUCGUGAGACUUUUUGCAUGUACCUUAUGAAUAAGGACCGGCUAAUUCCGUGCCAGCAGCCGCGGUAAUACGGAAGGUCCGGGCGUUAUCCGGAUUUAUUGGGUUUAAAGGGAGCGUAGGCCGGAGAUUAAGCGUGUUGUGAAAUGUAGACGCUCAACGUCUGCACUGCAGCGCGAACUGGUUUCCUUGAGUACGCACAAAGUGGGCGGAAUUCGUGGUGUAGCGGUGAAAUGCUUAGAUAUCACGAAGAACUCCGAUUGCGAAGGCAGCUCACUGGAGCGCAACUGACGCUGAAGCUCGAAAGUGCGGGUAUCGAA